rnacentral:rRNA from 1 species
CGGAAGAAGGCCGCAAGGUUGUAAAGUCCUUUUUGCAGACGAAGAAUAAGGCACGGAGUGGAACGCCGUGCUGAUGACGUUAGUCUGCGAAUAAGCCCCGGCCAAUUACGUGCCAGCAGCCGCGGUAACACGUAUGGGGCAAGCGUUGUUCGGAAUCACUGGGCGUAAAGGGCGUGUAGGCGGUUCGAAAAGCCCGGCGUGAAAGGUAUCGGCCUAACCGAUAGACUGCGCUGGGAACUGCCGGACUGGAGUCAUGGAGGGGGAGCUGGAAUUCCAGGUGUAGGGGUGAAAUCUGUAGAGAUCUGGAAGAACACCGGUGGCGAAGGCGAGCUUCUGGCCAAUGACUGACGCUGAGGCGCGAAAGCGUGGGGAGCAAACAGGAUUAGAUACCCUGGUAGUCCACGCUGUAAACGAUGUGUACUAGGUGUCGGUGCCAUACAGGCAUCGGUGCCGUAGCUAAGGCGAUAAGUGCACCGCCUGGGGAGUAUGCUCGCAAGGGUG